GACGAACGCUGGCGGCGUGCUUAACACAUGCAAGUCGAACGGAAAGGCCUGCUUUCCCUUGUGGAUUGCGGGUACUCGAGUGGCGAACGGGUGAGUAACACGUGAGUGAUCUGCCCCCAACUUGGGUAUAAGCCUGGGAAACUGGGUCUAAUUCCCGAUAGGACUGCAGGGUGGUGCCUGUGGUGGAAAACGAUUUUCUAGUGGUUGGGGAUGAGCUCGCGGCCUAUCAGCUUGUUGGUGGGGUAAUGGCCUACCAAGGCGGCGACGGGUAGCCGGCCUGGGAGGGUGGACGGCCACAUUGGGACUGAGAUACGGCCCAGACUCCUACGGGAGGCAGCAGUGGGGAAUAUUGCACAAUGGGCGGAAGCCUUAUGCAGCGACGCCGCGUGGGGGAUGACGGCCUUCGGGUUGUAAACUCCUUUCGACCGCGAGGAAGCCACCUGGUUGGAAGGGUGGUGACGGUAGUGGUAGAAGAAGCACCGGCUAACUACGUG
rnacentral:rRNA from 1 species